UACCAUGUAGGACUCAGUUCAGCCUGGAC
rnacentral:piRNA from 1 species